rnacentral:rRNA from 1 species
CGGAGGAUGCGAGCGUUAUCCGGAUUUAUUGGGUUUAAAGGGAGCGCAGACGGGUUUUUAAGUCAGCUGUGAAAGUUUAGGGGGCGUCAAACCUUAAAAAUUUAGCAGUUUGAUACUGGAGACCUUGAGUGCAGUUGAGGCAGGCGGAAUUCGUGGUGUAGCGGUGAAAUGCUUAGAUAUCACGAAAGAACUCCGAUUGCGAAGGCAGCUUUGCUAAAAGUGUACUGACGUUUCAUGCUCGAAAGUGUGGUAUCAAACAGGAUU